rnacentral:rRNA from 1 species
GAUGAACGCUGGCGGCGUGCCUAAUACAUGCAAGUCGAGCGAACAGAUGAGGAGCUUGCUCCUCUGACGUUAGCGGCGGACGGGUGAGUAACACGUGGAUAACCUACCUAUAAGACUGGGAUAACUUCGGGAAACCGGAGCUAAUACCGGAUAAUAUAUUGAACCGCAUGGUUCAAUAGUGAAAGACGGUUUUGCUGUCACUUAUAGAUGGAUCCGCGCGCAUUAGCUAGUUGGUAAGGUAACGGCUUACCAAGGCAACGAUGCGUAGCCGACCUGAGAGGGUGAUCGGCCACACUGGAACUGAGACACGGUCUAGACUCCUACGGGAGGCAGCAGUAGGGAAUCUUCCGCAAUGGGCGAAAGCCUGACGGAGCAACGCCGCGUGAGUGAUGAAGGUCUUCGGAUCGUAAAACUCUGUUAUUAGGGAAGAACAAAUGUGUAAGUAACUAUGCACGUCUUGACGGUACCUAAUCAGAAAGCCACGGCUAACUACGUG